UCAAGUGAGGGAUCUGCUGCAGCUUGCCAACUCCCACUGCAGCCUCCCAGCAAAGAGGGCCUCCUUGGGAAGCACCAGGCUGGUGCCUGCUGUGGUUCCUGGAGCAUCUUGGCAACAAAGCACAGCCUCCCACUGCCCGGUCCUGCUGGCUAAGGAGAAAUUUCUCUGUCAGGAGCAACAUCUGCAAGAGGAAUAAGCCACCAGGUGUGGAUAUGGAGGAGGUGUGCCAUCCUGCACUGCACACACCUCUGUUUUUACACUCUGGCUGUGAAACCACCACUGCACAAUAAAGCCCAGGGCUUUGUGAACCCCCCCCUUCAGCUGGCAACUAGGACAGAGACAGUGGAGGGGCUGGGAGUUCACCUUGACCUGCUAAUGGAGAACCUUCAGGAUUGCUCUUCCUGGUGAUGACCCAUUUCCAGAACCAAGGAUAAUGGAGAGGCAUCAGGCUUCAAGUUUUGCUCCAUGGGCAGCAAGCAUCAGCCACAGCUUUUCUUCACCCUGGGCUGCGUGUGGCCACUGCCCAUCCUUCCAUUCGGCCACAUGCUGGCUUUCAAAUGCCACAGGAUUGCACUGUGACUGGUCAUUCUCCUAAGAACAAUAGCCCUUCGGGGUGACCCAGGGCCUCCUGUGGCUCCCCCCACAUCACAGAGAUCUGGGGGGCUCAUUUUGGAUGAUGUGGCCCCCGAGGAGGCCGUCCCCAGCACUGCAGGGCUGCUCAUCCUCCCUCAUUGCCAGCACUGCGUAUGCAAGCUGCGUGAGGAGCAAAGCCAACAGUAAGUUAGUGUUGGCCGUGGCCCAUACUAAUGUUGUUCUUACUAUUUCAGUGCCAUCUUCCUUAUUUCCUCCCUCUCCCUGAACAACUAAAUUAAUU